GGAAUCUUCCACAAUGGGCGCAAGCCUGAUGGAGCAACACCGCGUGAGUGAAGAAGGGUUUCGGCUCGUAAAGCUCUGUUGUUAGAGAAGAACGUGCGUGAGAGUAACUGUUCACGCAGUGACGGUAUCUAACCAGAAAGGGACGGCUAACUACGUGCCAGCAGCCGCGGUAAUACGUAGGUCCCGAGCGUUGUCCGGAUUUAUUGGGCGUAAAGCGAGUGCAGGCGGUUUAAUAAGUCUGAAGUUAAAGGCAGUGGCUUAACCAUUGUUCGCUUUGGAAACUGUUAGACUUGAGUGCAGAAGGGGAGAGUGGAAUUCCAUGUGUAGCGGUGAAAUGCGUAGAUAUAUGGAGGAACACCGGUGGCGAAAGCGGCUCUCUGGUCUGUAACUGACGCUGAGGCUCGAAAGCGUGGGGAGCAAACA
rnacentral:rRNA from 1 species